UCAUUCCGGAAGGCUCUGUUGGCUCUCCGCUCUGACUGAAGGGUACUCAGCUUUUGAUUGAACGCAGUUGUUGCAUUCUAAUGGCCAGAUCUCAGCUUGGGAAUCACUUCUUUGUGGAAUGGCCUCUUCUGACUGUCUUCUCACUGGUUUCAUCUUAGGCCUGCAAUUUGCUAGCAGGGAAAUUAAUGUUUCUGAGUAGGCCCAGGAUGGCCAUCUGGAAGAGUCUCUCUCAUCCAGGAUUUGUUGUUGCAGUCCUGGUAAUAGAAUAUAAUUAUAAGCAAGAAAACACACAAAAAAACAACAUUGAUGGCUUUAUUAGUAUCACUGACUUGUGUCCACUGCUAAAACUCUUAUGAUUGCAAGAGUACAGGUGAUGAUUUAUACAUUUAUGCAUUAAAAAACUCUUGUAAAUGA